AGCGAACGCUGGCGGCGUGCCUAACACAUGCAAGUCGAGCGAAGGCAUAUGUGUAGCGAUACAUGUAUGUACUUAGCGGCGGACGGGUGAGUAACACGUGGAUAAUCUGCCCCAAGGACUGGGACAACUCUGGGAAACCGGAGCUAAUACCGGAUAUGACCACGAUGUCUGAGGGCAUCGAGGUAAAAGGGUGGCCUGCAAGGGCUAUUGCCUUGGGANGAGUUCACGACCCAUCAGGUAGUUGGCGGGGUAAAGGCCCACCAAGCCAAAGACGGGUAGCUGGUCUAAGAGGAUGGUCAGCCACACGGGAACUGAGACACGGUCCCGACUCCUACGGGAGGCAGCA
rnacentral:rRNA from 1 species